UACGUAGGGGGCAAGCGUUGUCCGGAUUCAUUGGGCGUAAAGAGCGUGUAGGCGGCCAGGUAGGUCGGUUGUGAAAACUCGAGGCUCAACCUCGAGACGUCGGUGGAAACCGUUUGGCUAGAGUCCGGAAGAGGAGAGUGGAAUUCCCGGUGUAGUGGUGAUAUGCGUAGAUAUCGGGAGGAACACCUGUGGCGAAGGCGGCUUUCUGGGCCUUACCUGACGCUGAGACGCGAAAGCGUGGGGAACGAACCGG
rnacentral:rRNA from 1 species